AUUGAACGCUGGCGGCAUGCUUUACACAUGCAAGUCGAACGGCAGCGCGGGCUUCGGCCUGGCGGCGAGUGGCGAACGGGUGAGUAAUACAUCGGAACGUGCCCAGUAGUGGGGGAUAGCUCGGCGAAAGCCGGAUUAAUACCGCAUACGACCUGAGGGUGAAAGCGGGGGAUCUUCGGACCUCGCGCUAUUGGAGCGGCCGAUGGCAGAUUAGCUAGUUGGUGGGGUAAAGGCCUACCAAGGCGACGAUCUGUAGCUGGUCUGAGAGGACGACCAGCCACACUGGGACUGAGACACGGCCCAGACUCCUACGGGAGGCAGCAGUGGGGAAUUUUGGACAAUGGGCGAAAGCCUGAUCCAGCAAUGCCGCGUGUGUGAUGAAGGCCUUCGGGUUGUAAAGCACUUUUGGCGGGAACGAAAAGGACUGUGCCAAUACCACGGUUCGAUGACGGUACCCGCAGAAUAAGCACCGGCUAACUACGAG
rnacentral:rRNA from 1 species